rnacentral:sRNA from 12 species
CUAUAAGAGUUAGUCACUGUCGUUACCCUUUUUUUGAGGAUACGGGAAUACUAACGUUGA